rnacentral:rRNA from 1 species
GAGAGUUCAGUAGGGCGUGAACCGCUGAGAAGGAAACGGAUAGAGUUAACGAAACUUGGUGGCAUUCAUCCGACUAAUGCUACUGCUAGCUGUGCGACUUGUAUCAGCGGUAAAACGUUGGUCAUCGUGCGGCAUUGGCUGGUUGCGUUUGGUUGGUGCUUUUGCCAUCGGUAUGUGCUGAGAGGCUCGCCGUGGUGCGUUGAAACUAGCUAAAGAGGACCGGGCACCUCGUGUGCUUGGAAACCUUUGGUUGGUGUAGGCGUAUCCGUUUGGUGAGUCGUUGCUUCGCUUCUGUGGUGCAUGCAAGUAUGCGCAACGGUUGUCGUGUGGUUGGCAUAGCUGUUGAGCGGUCGCAUGCGACUUGCUUACAGUUGGUGUUGGCCCAUGGCGGCUCGGCUGCGUCCGCAUCACAUCUCGGUAUGAAAGUUGACCACCUAUCCGACCCGUCUUGAAACACGGACCAAGGAGUUUAGCAUAUGCGCGAGUCAUUGGGUGGUAAACCUAAAGGCGUAAUGAAAGUAAAGAUUGCUUCAGUGCAGUUGAUAUGGGAUCUGUGUGGCUACGGCCACUGCAGCGCACCAUAGCCCCGUCUUUGUUGCUUGCAAUAGGGCGGAGGAAGAGCGCAUACGCUGAGACCCGAAAGAUGGUGAACUAUGCCUGAGCAGGAUGAAGCCAGAGGAAACUCUGGUGGAAGUCCGAAGCGGUUCUGACGUGCAAAUCGAU